rnacentral:lncRNA from 1 species
UCAUUAUAGGCAACACCAUCCAUAUUAUCUAUGGAAUUCGAACCCGAACUCUAUUUAUGAUUCCUUAUUUCUAUCUCAUUAGCCUUGUUUCAAUUUUAUUUCGUAUUUUAUUUCAAUAUAUCGAUUUUUUUUACUUUACGUCCAACCUCUCCCCCCUUUUUCCAUCUAUAUUCCCUUUUUUUUUCAUUUCAGGGCCGAAUUACGCCCA